AACGAACGCUGGCGGCAGGCUUAACACAUGCAAGUCGAACGCCCCGCAAGGGGAGUGGCAGACGGGUGAGUAACGCGUGGGAACAUACCCUUUCCUGCGGAAUAGCUCUGGGAAACUGGAAUUAAUACCGCAUACGCCCUACGGGGGAAAGAUUUAUCGGGGAAGGAUUGGCCCGCGUUGGAUUAGCUAGUUGGGGGGGUAAAGGCCUACCAAGGCGACGAUCCAUAGCUGGUCUGAGAGGAUGAUCAGCCACAUUGGGACUGAGACACGGCCCAAACUCCUACGGGAGGCAGCAGUGGGGAAUAUUGGACAAUGGGCGCAAGCCUGAUCCAGCCAUGCCGCGUGAGUGAUGAAGGCCUUAGGGUUGUAAAGCUCUUUCACCGAUGAAGAUAAUGACGGUAGUCGGAGAAGAAGCCCCGGCUAACUUCGUGCCAGCCGCCGCGGUAUAC
rnacentral:rRNA from 1 species